rnacentral:rRNA from 1 species
CCCUUAGAUGUCCGGGGCUGCACGCGCGCUACACUGAAGGAAUCAGCGCGCUAAAACCAUUGUCGAAAGGCAUUGGUAAACCCAUUAAAAUCCUACGUGAUUGGGAUCGGGAAUUGCAAUUAUUUCCCUUGAACGAGGAAUUCCCAGUAAGUGUGGGUCAUAAGCUCGCGUUGAUUACGUCCCUGCCCUUUGUACACACCGCCCGUCGCUGCCCGGGACUGAGCCGUUUCGAGAAAAGCGGGGACUGCUGCUGUCGGGGCUUUCGGGCCUUGGCUUCGGUGGAAACCGCUUUAAUCGCAGUGGCUUGAACCGGGCAAAAGUCGUAACA